rnacentral:rRNA from 1 species
UACGUAGGGGGCAAGCGUUGUCCGGAAUCAUUGGGCGUAAAGCGCGUGUAGGCGGUUUGGUAAGUCCGCUGUAAAAGUCAAGGGCUCAACCCUUGAAAGCCGGUGGAUACUGUCAGACUAGAGUGCGGAAGAGGCGAGUGGAAUUCCUGGUGUAGCGGUGAAAUGCGCAGAUAUCAGGAGGAACACCAAUUGCGAAGGCAGCUCGCUGGGACGUUACUGACGCUGAGACGCGAAAGCGUGGGGAGCAAACAGG